rnacentral:rRNA from 1 species
GGGUGGCGGACGGGUGAGUAACGCGUAAAGAACUUGCCUCACAGACAGGGACAACAUUUGGAAACGAAUGCUAAUACCUGAUAUUAUGACAAUAAGGCAUCUUAUAGUUAUGAAAGCUAUAUGCGCUGUGAGAGAGCUUUGCGUCCCAUUAGCUAGUUGGAGAGGUAACGGCUCACCAAGGCGAUGAUGGGUAGCCGGCCUGAGAGGGUGAUCGGCCACAAGGGGACUGAGACACGGCCCUUACUCCUACGGGAGGCAGCAGUGGGGAAUAUUGGACAAUGGACCAAGAGUCUGAUCCAGCAAUUCUGUGUGCACGAUGAAGUUUUUCGGAAUGUAAAGUGCUUUCAGUUGGGAAGAAAAAAAUGACGAUACCAACAGAAGAAGUGACGGCUAAAUACGUGCCAGCAGCCGCGGUAAUACGUAUGUCACAAGCGUUAUCCGGAUUUAUUGGGCGUAAAGCGCGUCUAGGUGGUUAUGUAAGUCUGAUGUGAAAAUGCAGGGCUCAACUCUGUAUUGCGUUGGAAACUGCAUAACUAGAGUACUGGAGAGGUAAGCGGAACUACAAGUGUAGAGGUGAAAUUCGUAGAUAUUUGUAGGAAUGCCGAUGGGGAAGCCAGCUUACUGGACAGAUACUGACGCUGAAGCGCGAAAGCGUGGGUAGCAAACAGGAUUAGAUACCCUGGUAGUCCACGCCGUAAACGAUGAUUACUAGGUGUUGGGGGUCGAACCUCAGCGCCCAAGCAAACGCGAUAAGUAAUCCGCCUGGGGAGUACGUACGCAAGUAUGAAACUCAAAGGAAUUGACGGGGACCCGCACAAGCGGUGGAGCAUGUGGUUUAAUUCGACGCAACGCGAGGAACCUUACCAGCGUUUGACAUCUUAGGAAUGAGACAGAGAUGUUUCAGUGUCCCUUCGGGGAAACCUAAAGACAGGUGGUGCAUGG